GCUUCCAUAGUCUAACGGACAGAAUGGUCGGCUACGAACUGACAGAUCCAGGUUCGAUUCCUGGUGGAAGCA
rnacentral:tRNA from 1 species